CCGGUCGCUUUGCCGCGCUCUUCUUCAGUCGCCAUUUGGACUACUGAGGAUGAGUACGCAGAGGAAAUAAACGCCCCCCUCCGGUUGACGAGGGAAUUGCAGCCUCCCACAAAAGAACAGAAUGCAGAGUAUAAUAUUAGCCAGACCGGCUACACACAUCUUCAAUCGGACAGGAGUCAAACUUGAGCCGCAUGGACCAGAAAGAACACACAACAUAUGUCACAGAGCAAAGGACACCGACGUCAAUGCAGACAGCACCAACUGUUGUUGCAAGUCGAGGGGAUGUCCAAAUGGAGGAAUUCAUGAAGCAGGACCAAAUAAUGCCAGGAAGUGGUGGUGACAGUUGCAGGCACAUCUCAAGGUGGUGUUCAUCUUUUUUUCUCUGGAGUAAUGGGGGCUGCCAUAAGGAGAUAAUGGGGCCAGGAGGACCAUGAUCCUUCACAGAAACAGGAGCACCACAGCCGGAGAAUCCAUCUUUGUUUGUUUGUACACUAUAAUGGAUUGUUAUACUGCGUCUCUGCACCCAAAAAUAUAGCACUUGGCUCCAAAAGUAGUAGAGUCCACAUUGUUGACUAUUCUAUUUGUGGCAGAAUGUGCAUUAAAGAGGUUUAAGCUGCAAAUAGUGGUGACUCUCCUCUGGAUAAGAAGCUAAACACAAAAGACAAAGAGCGGUGCCAGAGAUGAUUUAGUACCUUCUGGAGCUGUGCCCAAAGACUUUCAUUUCCCUGGUAAAAAUGUGGUAAUUAAAUAUACAUGUACUCACUCCAGAAGCGCUGCAGUCUUCCAAAAAAAAGUCAAUCCAGCAUUUACAUAUGUGAAAUAUGCUGUACGGCUUACCUGGAGAAUACGAUCUCCGUUUUUAAUGCGGCCGUCUCUCGCUGCUAAACUGUUUGGCUCCACCUGUGACAAAACAACAAAUUGCUCAAAACAAAACCGUAACUUUAGACAAGAGCAUGAAUGCAACACCGUGAAGCUCUUUGUGUCGCUACUAUUGGAUUUGGGUUGUUUACUACAAGAGCAUACACGCAACAGAUCAUUAAUAAUCAUUUUCUAAACAAACCACACAGAAAUCUUUAUUCCUAAUGUGGGACUUGUACUCAUACAUUUUAAUGAGCUACAUUUGCAUUCCAUCAAAGACACCAAAAUAAAAACAGGUACAUGUUUUCCCAAGCCCCCCACCCCCACUAAGAAUACUUCCGAAUGUGAAUUACGUUUGCAUUAUUCCGAAUUGUUUGUGAAAAGCUCCUUACCUGGCUUACAUAAAUGGCCGUGUCCUCCUCCUCGUCAGUCCUGUAGCACAACGUCAGGCCAAGCUUCUCCUGACUGUUCUGCCUGCACAACUCCACUUCCUGUUGGAGAAACCAAGUUAGUGUGUAGCGUAAAAAUGACCUUCAACGCUAGAGCUGUUGCAGAUGCUGAUAACCACGUACAAGCCCUAAAGUGUGCUGCUUUGUGAGACUGCUUGAUUUGAACAAGACAGCCAAGUACCAGCUAAACGCACUCGCUGGAUCCAUACGAAAAAAUAGUAAAGAAGCUAAAUUGGCCAUGAUUUGUGGCACGUUGGUGUUUCAAUCACCAAAAUCUCAUUUUGUCAUUGGAAUAGCAAAUGGCAAGUAUCUCAUUUAGCAGCUGCCGCUAACGUAUAAAAGCGACAUCACAGCACGCGUGUGGCAUUUUGCUGGAAACAUCUGCUCGCCACAUUACCGCCUAAUUGGCACUUAACAUUUCUAUUAUGAUGUAAUUGAAAAGAAUCCAUGUUCAUUGUUUCUGCACUGCAUGAUGACACACACACACACAAACGUCAGUGGGUGUGGAGAUGUUCAUUUUAGCUCCUAUAGGAUUUAUGUAAACAAUCAUGUGUUUUUGCAGAACUGUGCACAGGAUUUACAAACCAAAAGAUGAAUUCUGCCUCAUUUAUUGAUCUGAAUAGUAAAUCUAUUUCAAUUUACCCCUGAUUGGUAUUGGUAAUGGCAAUGCUAAUGGUUUAGUUUAUUAGAGGCUCACAUAUUUAAUCGCACCCUUUCUCCAUGUCUUUUAUUAGAAUUGGUAUAUUAUUAGAAUUACUGAUGGUCUGUGUAAUUGAUGUUGAUGGUUUGCCACUAGACUAAGACACUAAGACACUCAGAUAAACAUUGCUGUUGGCUAGCUUAAUAGCAUUAUCCGUUAUUCCACUGUUAAAUCGUAUCUCGGUUUAAAAACUAUGACGUUGAAGUCAAAAAAUCUCGACGUUGUUUUUGAUGCUACUUGCAAGUACUUCGGCGCAGCGUGGUCGUGUGUAGACUCUGGUAUUGUGGAGCUCUCAGUGACGAGUCCAAGAUCGCAAAUAAAAACGGAAUCCAAUAUCUAGAAGCUCUUGUCGAGUGUAAGAUGUUAAACCAGACCCGAUAUGAAUGAUACCAACAAAACUUGGCUGAGUGUAUGCGCUGUCAUCUUGUGUAUGUAUGGAUCUUCUGACAAAUAAACAGCAUUUUCAAUUCUUUAAUAACACCGAUGAGGCUAAAUUUGUAUGAAAAAGAGCAGAGGAUAUUUGAUAUCUGUCACCAGCCAAGCCAAACAAUAAUGGAAAUUCUGCAUUGUCAUAAAUGCAUCAGUUCUACACUAAAACAUCUCAUGUUUGACACUUUUUAUAUGACAAAAAAGGUUACUUAUUUUGUUGUAUGCUUUUUCAGCCCUUUCCCUACAAUGGUGUUUUUUACUUUGAACACUCGACGUGACACUCGAACUUGGUAAAUAUCAGCACAGCCAGUAAUCUGUCAAUCAUGUUUCAGUUAGAUGCGGAUGGCUGCACGGAGCGAAGUCAGGAUGCUUGAUUCAGAUUGUGUGUAACCUUGUUCUGUUAUAUGAACCCCCGCAUGCGUAUCGCACAGCAAGUUAGGGGCCUCAUCUGGCAGCAGCGGAGGAGCCCUAAUGACCCACAAUGCAGUUCACUGAACCAGGAGGUGGCCAUUAAACCAGUGGAGAACACUCAAACUGGCUUAUCACUGUCACAGACAAUCACCUACAGGUCUGCUGUGGGUCUGCUGUGGGUCUGCUGUCUACUGGUGUACUGUAAUGCAUUUGAUACACUCCACACAUGCUAGACUCUUGGUAUAUUAUAUUCAUCAAAGGCAAUAAGUAUCGGAAAAAGGAGGUUUAAAUAUAAACGUACCUCAUAAACAUACUCUUCAGUCCUCUCCACUUCAGCUGGCGUGGUGGACAGGUACUCGGGACAUUCAUAAAACUCGUGCUCCAUUGUGUGGAUGGAAUGACAGCUACAGAAAAAUCACACAAAAUGAAUUUAAUUGAUGUAAAAAAAUAGCAAAAUACACCCCAAAAUCUGUCACCUGUCAGACAAAAGGAAGGGACAGAUGUCAGGGACGGGCGGCGUCGCAGGCCGGAGCUUGGCCAGCGCCAUGAUGUGCUCGAAGGUGAUGUCCGUUUGCGUGCACACAUCUGUCACGCACGCCUCGUCCUCCUCCGCCAUUGACGCCACGGCUCCGCUGGGCCGUAUAACCUGGACCACAAUGGGCUCAUCCUGCUCCACCUUGGAGAAGUUACGACCGUUUACCUGUGGGAGGAGAACCAUUUAUUCUUCAGCUCCCUAAUUAAGCACAGUGGGCCUAUCAUAUGAGUAAUAGCAGCAGGAGGCACACGUAUAUUGGUGGUCAUUAUGUAAGCAGGAGGGGAAAACUGAGUGACUCCUGUCAACUAACCUGAAUGUAAACGUCUAAACAGCCCAUACGCAUUUAUUCACUCAUGCACUGACACUUCAUUUAAACCAGUUACCCUACUUCCCCAUGAAGACCCUGAACUACAAGUCGUAUAUCCAUCACAACCUCAUUCUGGGCAUAAAAAGUCAGAAUUUGGCCCACAUGGAUGAAUUAGUGUGGUGCUGCAUGGUGAUGAGCUAACUGGGGGUUGAUUAAUAGCUAGCAGGUGUGAUGAAGAGCGGGGGGGAUAAUUUGAUUUGCACACAUGUUGUUCAUCGUGUACGCUGAAUUAAGGAGCUAGUUAAACCGCAAAUCAGAGCAUAAAAUAAACAGGGGACACUUUAAAUGAAACCACAAAUAUACACUUUAUCUAUUCCGACAGAGCUAUAAAAGAUCAUCUGUAUAUUCUUUCAUGAGGUGAUAAUCUACCGUCAUACUUAUGGCAUGCAACAAAUAACCUAAGGAAGUAAACAGGAAGUGCGGUGAACACAGAAUCUUUAUAUUCUUUACAAUAGGCAGCAACCAUCAACAAAAUGAUUAACAUUGCUGCCUAGAUGGGCUGUCAAACAGGUUAGUGUGAUGCAGGACUUGUUGCUGAACACUUCUAAGAAAAUAUAGCAAUGUAGGUAUAAAAGUCUUCACUAUAAGCAGUAACCUGCAACAAUAACGCUAACAUUGCUGCCUAGACGGGCUGUCAAACCUGUUAAUGUGGUGCGGGACUUGUUGCUGAACACUUCUAAGAAAAUAUAGCAAUGCAUAGCAUUAACCUAUAACAAUAACAUUGCUGCCUAGACGGGCUGUCAAACCUGUUAGUGUGGUGCAGGACGUGUUGCCAAACACUUCUAAGAAAAUAUAGCAAUGUAGGUAUAAAGGUCUUCACUAUAGGCGGCAACCUGCAACAAUAACGAUAACCUUGCUGCCUAGACGGGCUGUCAAACCUGUGAGUGUGGUGCAGGAAUUGUUGCCAAACACGUCUUAAGAAAAUAUAGCAAUGUAGGUAUAGAAGUCUUCACUAUAGGCAGCAACCUGCAACAAUAACGAUAAACUUGCUGCCUAGACGGGCUGUCAAACCUGCGAGUGUGGUGCAGGACAUCUUUUACAACACUUGGAAGAAGAUAUAGCAAUGUAGGUAUAAAGGUCUUCACUAUAGGCAGCAACCUGCAACAAUAACGAUAACAUUGCUGCCUAGACGGGCUGUCAAAUGUGAGUGUGUUGCAGGAUAUCUUUUACAACACUUAGAAGAAGAUAUAGCAAUGGAGGUAUAAAAGUCGUCACAAUAGGCAGCAAUCAGCAACAAAAACAAUAACAUUGCUGCCUAGACGGGCUGUCAGAACAGGAAGUAAACCGGGAAUGUGGACUAUUUUUACAACACUGAGAAUUCAAACAUAGCAAUGAUGGUGUAAAUUGAUUUUGCGACUUGGUAGCGAAAAUUUAAUUAUUUUGCUGCAUAGAUGGGCUGUCAAAACAGAAAGUAAACAGAACGUAACCUACGAAUUAAACACAUCACUGACCACGAGGGCCUCCGAAAUGACCGUCUUCAAACUGUGGUUGAAAGUAGCACGGUGAAGGUCAGCCUAAGGCCUCCAAUAUGUCCCCUUUCAGAUGAGUCACAAGGUUUUUAUCUUGCAGUUGCCAUUUUUUAAUACAAAGAGGAAUCGGCAGAUAAGCGAUGACGUUUAUUUCUGUGUUUGCCGCGCCAAGAUAAGCGCAUGAUGGAAAGCGUGCGGCCUGAUCGCCACAUCUGACAGAUAGGACGGCAUUGUUAGCAAUAAAAAACACACGACACAAGACUUAAAACAUGCUUGCUGCAUUAACUGCACUGAUAAUGCUGCUGUCAUUCAUCCUCCCGUCAGAUCCCAACUGUUGUGGAAUUCACUUCCACCCAUUGUUAUUCCAUUCAAGGAAAUUGGCGUUUUGUGAAGGAAGCGCAGGUGGCAGUAUGCUUCUGACAAUCUGCUCCAUCUCAUUUCUCAGCCGUCUUUUGAGACUAUUCAAGCAGUCAUAAAUGUCUCAUUUCAAUAAGAAAAGUGUCUGACGGCAUGAAGAGUCUUGAGUGACAGGUUGGAGUGGAUAGCAUUGACCUCUUUGCCUGCAGUAGAAGACGACAGCGUGAUGCUGUUGAUGCGUCUGGGGGGGUUGGGGGCGUGUGCCUCAGGAAAUACGAAUGACUUUGACUGCUGUAUGCCUGUAAUCAAAACGGGAAUGAGAUAGAUGGAAAUCAUGGUGCUUUUCAAUGUGCUACAGUGUCAUGAAAUAAAAAUAACAUUUGCCGUAAGCAGUGGUUUUGAAAUAGAUGAAUAGAUUUUUUUUAAAAAUACCCGAAAUUCCGGUGUAUGUGUCGAGGUCAGAAAGUGGUAUAUUGUGGCGAGCACAAGUCCCUAUUUGACAGGAGCCAAUCAUGAGCGAUGAAAAAACCCACAAAAAGCUUGUCAACCGAUAGGAAAAUUGUAGUAGAUUAUUACUCAAUAAAUAGUCUGACUGAUCUUUCAAAGCAAACUCAUCACACAGCAACUUAACACUCAAUGAGUAUACCUAAUAAAUAUAGAAACGUGUCAAUAUGAGUUUUAAUCUCUGUCCACCAGAGGCUGGAUGGUGGCUGACGUCAUUGCAGUGCCCCAAUGAUUGUAUUGCUCAGAUGCAAGGUGUCGAUGAAACACUAUGAUCAUAUUUUAUUGAGUGAAUUUGCUAAAUAACCCACCAUGAGGUCAAAGAAAGAUGUUUUGGAACAAAUUCAUUACAAGAACCGAAGUUCCACUGCACAUUGGUCAAGAAACAAAUAAAAAUUAGGUUGAGCAGUUGGAAAACAGAAAUAAAUUGGUCUGUAAAUUAGUAGAUGCUGAAUAAAUAGGUGAAAUAAAUUGGUCAUAAAUAGGUUUGUUACUAAAAAUCAAGUUCAGAUCAGAUGACUCGCUGCUACCUCUAGUGGUAGCAAUUGAUAUGACACGUUCAACAAAACUACUUUACUCUUCUUAAACGGGUACAAAUUAAAAUCCUUGCUCUUGUGCCUCCAAUCAGAAAUACAGUGUGGUUUUACAUUCCUCCGUUGCACCAA